rnacentral:rRNA from 1 species
UACGGGGGGUGCGAGCGUUGUCCGGAAUCACUGGGCGUAAAGGGCGCGUAGGUGGCCUGAUAAGGGUGUGGUGAAAGUCCGGGGCUCAACCCCGGAUCGGCCGUGCCGACUGUUAGGCUAGAGUACUGUAGGGGCAGGCGGAAUUCCGGGUGUAGCGGUGGAAUGCGUAGAGAUCCGGAGGAAGACCGGUGGCGAAGGCGGCCUGCUGGGCAGUUACUGACACUGAGGCGCGAAAGCUAGGGGAGCAAACAGG